rnacentral:rRNA from 1 species
GCGGCGAACGGGUGAGGAACACGUGAAGAAUCUGCCUUCAACUCUGGGAUAACUCCGGGAAACCGGGGCUAAUACCGGAUAUGAGCCUUGGCCGCAUGGCCGGGGCUGGAAAGUUUUUCGGUUGAAGAUGACUUCGCGGCCUAUCAGCUUGUUGGUGAGGUAACGGCUCACCAAGGCGACGACGGGUAGCCGGCCUGAGAGGGCGACCGGCCACACUGGGACUGAGACACGGCCCAGACUCCUACGGGAGGCAGCAGUGGGGAAUAUUGGGCAAUGGAGGAAACUCUGACCCAGCGACGCCGCGUGAGGGAUGAAGGCCUUCGGGUUGUAAACCUCUUUCAGUAGGGAAGAAGCGAAAGUGACGGUACCUACAGAAGAAGCACCGGCUAACUAUGUGCCAGCAGCCGCGGUAAUACAUAGGGUGCAAGUGUUGUCCGGAAUUAUUGGGCGUAAAGAGCUCGUAGGUGGUUCGAUACGUCGGAUGUGAAAAUCAGGGGCUCAACCCCUGACCUGCAUUCGAUACGGUCGAGCUAGAGUUUGGUAGGGGAGACUGGAAUUCCUGGUGUAGCGGUGGAAUGCGCAGAUAUCAGGAGGAACACCGAUGGCGAAGGCAGGUCUCUGGGCCAAUACUGACACUGAGGAGCGAAAGCGUGGGGAGCGAAACAGGAUUAGAUACCCUGGUAGUCCACGCCGUAAACGGUGGGCGCUAGUUGUG